GCAUGCAGGUGAGAAGGGAAGAUACAUGUAAUCUGCAUGUCUGCCACCAUUCCUUGUUACCCUUUUUCAUAUCCCAUGAGCACAGCACUCCAGCGGACCUACCCAAAAUAUGUGGGAGUUCAGUGAAACUCAAACAGCAUGCUUCUGGUCAGCCUAUACAGUCUCUGUCCUGGUGAGGAGCAUGAUCACCAACAGGCAAGAUCUUCUGGCCUUGAAGUUUCGCUUGAGUUAAAAGAGCUCAUCUCAGGACUUUCUGAAUUUUCAGCCCAUAUGACAUGGAAGAAGAGUUAGAAGGGGAAUCUGACUGCUUGGAUCAGGGACUGUCUGGCUGGUGGAACUUGAAUGUAUACAACACUCUUCAUUUGCAUGUUUUGACAUUUUAAAAAAUGUUUUCACUUUCCUUAUCUACUUUGACUCUAAUAACAUCCUGAAAGGUGCUGUUGUCCUCUUUCUGGACCUUAGAGAUGUACAGUGCGCCACUCUGAGGAUCAAGUCUGACCCUGCCUUUAAAUUUGGAUUCAAAGUACUUAGAUUUUCUGGAAUCCCAUUCUACAAUCUUCUGGUCGAAAGUAUAAAACCAGCAUUGGCCAGCUUGAGAAAUAAAGGGACAGAGUACAAAAGAGAGAAAUUUUAAAGCUGAGCAUCUGGGGGAGACAUCACAUGUCGUCUGCAGGUGUACCCAACAGCUCCGAAGAGACAGUGACAUCGAGAACGGGCCAUGAUGACGAUGGCGGUUUUGUCGAAAAGAAAAGGGGGAAAUGUGGGGAAAAGCAAGAGAGAUGAGAUUGUUACUGUGUCUGUAUAGAAAGAAGUAGACAUAGGAGACUCCAUUUUGUUCUGUACUAAGAAAAAUUCUUCUGCCUUGAGAUGCUGUUAAUCUAUGACCUUACCCCCAACCCCGUGCUCUCUGAAACAUG
rnacentral:lncRNA from 1 species